rnacentral:lncRNA from 1 species
AAUUAAGAUAUAACAAUUGCACUAAAGUCACAGCUCAAUUGAAAAGAUAACAUGUAUUUCUCUUUUCCUCCGUUAGCCUCCUUCAAGCAAAUGAAGUCUAUGCCCGCGGACUGGCUUCUAAAGCAUCUUAAAGAUCUCCAACUUUCUUUGUCUCGGGCCAUAGAGAGAGUGGCCAAGACAAGACAGAGCUAGGGCUUCUGUGGAGUC